AUUAUUUAUCGGCUUUUAAUUAAGAUCAAGUGUACCUGUUCUAACAGGUACAAUAGCUGGUACGUCCUCUAUUCUAGAAUAAUAUAUUAAUGAAUUUUUGAAGCAGGCGUUUGGAAUAGGAGCUUGCUUCAUCUACUCCACAUAUCCACCUGUAUUUCAGGAUCUCCAGAAAUGGUGCACCUUCC